GAUGAACGCUGGCGGCGUGCCUAAUACAUGCAAGUCGAGCGAACGGACGAGAAGCUUGCUUCUCUGCUGUUAGCGGCGGACGGGUGAGUAACACGUGGAUAACCUACCUAUAAGACUGGGAUAACUUCGGGAAACCGUAGCCAAUAACGGAUAAUAUUUUGAACCGCAUGGUUCAAAAGUGAAAGACGGUCUUGCUGUCACUUAUAGAUGGAUCCGCGCUGCAUUAGCUAGUUGGUAAGGUAACGGCUUACCAAGGCAACGAUGCAUAGCCGACCUGAGAGGGUGAUCGGCCACACUGGAACUGAGACACGGUCCAGACUCCUACGGGAGGCAGCAGUAGGGAAUCUUCCGCAAUGGGCGAAAGCCUGACGGAGCAACGCCGCGUGAGUGAUGAAGGUCUUCGGAUCGUAAAACUCUGUUAUUAGGGAAGAACAUAUGUGUAAGUAACUGUGCACAUCUUGACGGUACCUAAUCAGAAAGCCACGGCUAACUACGUG
rnacentral:rRNA from 1 species